rnacentral:rRNA from 1 species
GCACAAGCGGAGGAGCAUGUUGGUUUAAUUCGAUGAUACGCGAGGAACCGUUACCUGGGCUCGAACGUAAGAUGACUGUAGGUGAAAGCUUACAUCUCUUCGGAGCAUUUUUACGAGGUGCUGCAUGGUUGUCGUCAGCUCGUGCCGUGAGGUGUCGGGUUAAGUCCCAUAACGAGCGCAACCCUACCUUUAGUUGCCAUCAGGUAAUGCUGGGGACUCUAAAGGAACUGCCUACGCAAGUAGUGAGGAAGGCGGGGAUGACGUCAAAUCAGCACGGCCCUUACGUCCAGGGCUACACACGUGCUACAAUGGCCGAUACAGAGGGCAGCUACCUGGUGACAGGAUGCAAAUCUCCAAAGUCGGUCUCAGUUCGGAUCGGAGUCUGCAACCCGACUCCGUGAAGUUGGAUUCGCUAGUAAUCGCGCAUCAGCCAUGGCGCGGUGAAUACGUUCCCGGGCCUU